rnacentral:rRNA from 1 species
UUUUAUGGAGAGUUUGAUCCUGGCUCAGGAUGAACGCUGGCGGCGUGCCUAAUACAUGCAAGUCGAGCGAACAGACGAGGAGCUUGCUCCUCUGACGUUAGCGGCGGACGGGUGAGUAACACGUGGAUAACCUACCUCUAAGCACGGGAUAACUUCGGGAAACCGGAGCUAAUACCGGAUCAUAUAUUGCACAGCAUGGAUACAUGGUGCAAGAC